ACGCAGAAGGAAUUCAUCAGUCUACCCCGAUAUCUUCGCCCAUUUUUAUAAUUUCGAUAAUUAUCGAUAUUUCAACUUGGUUAUUUAAGCAUAACUCGAGGGUUACAGGAGCUAGAUACAACAAACUUGAUCGCCCCGUUCCAGCUCAAAUUGGAAAAGGGCACUCGUUUGUAAAGGUUGAGCCUUGCCCUUGGGUAUAUACACACUUUUGUUUGCCAUAUUUGGGCCCUGAAAAUGUUGAAAAGAUCACACUAUAAGCAAAAAAGUUAACCAAGAGUGCAAAUCUCAUAGUGUGCGGCUAAGGGUAGAAGAAGCAUAACUGCAGCAUACGUAUGUUAGUAGGCAUGUGGAAUGGCGGCUUGGUCAGGAUAUCUCCUAGUCGGGCAAACCCGCCUACAGCACUCUUACUUGUUUUUCGGUGAUUCGUUUAGGUCGGUGUUUGAAGCGCCAGCAUUGUUGAUGGUCGCGACCAACUGCAGGAUGUUUAUCAUUGUCACUUGAAUCUCAAGUUGUCUAAUUCCCGUUGCAUCAGCAACGUUCACUGUUCGCGGGGGUGUGUAAGACACACACACGCACACACAGGCACACACAUACACAUACUCGUAGACAUAUGUAUGCCCUGAUUCCGCCUUAUAAACAUGCUCGCAUCAUUGUCAAGCCGCGCUCGCUCCCUGCCUCUCUCUCCCACUCUCUAUCUCUCGCUCGCUCUCUUUCUCUUUCCCACUCUCUCUUUCUCUCCCACUGUCUGUUCGUUUUACUUAAAACAAAUUCCCAGCUCGCGCUCUGUUUUAUUUAUGGCAUCUUCUAUCUUGAGCUAGGGACAGGCGCACAAUUUGGAUCUCUAUUGGCUCGCUAGUGGCCCCGUUAUGUUAGGGCAUCCAAGAAGAAGAAGAAACAGCAGACCGAAGAUUAAAUACUCUUUUAAAUAUGCGCUUGGGCAAUGCUUUCAUACUGAUUGUUACUAUAGAAGUGAUAUAAUAUAGUAUUCGAAGCAUAGCCCGUCAGAUUUGAGUAUCUUUAGAAAAAGAUGUUUGAUGACUCUAGCUCUUAAAACCUAAAAGAUGUGCUCAAAGAACAGAAUUUCAAGCUAGCAUUUAUCGGAAAGAAAUUCGUACUGCUACAGAUAUACGGACGAACGGAAAAUGGACAUGGCUAGCUCGACUCGGCUAUUAAUGCUGAUCAAGAAAAUAUAUACUCUGUGGGGUUUGGAGAUGCUUC